CGCGUAGGUGGUUGUGUAAGUCAGAUGUGAAAUCUCGAGGCUCAACUUCGGAACUGCAUCUGAAACUGCAUGACUCGAGUACAGCAGAGGGGAAACGGAAUUCCUGGUGUAGAGGUGAAAUUCGUAGAUAUCAGGAGGAACACCGGUGGCGAAGGCGGUUUCCUGGGCUGAUACUGACACUGAGGCGCGAAAGCGUGGGGAGCGAAACA
rnacentral:rRNA from 1 species